GCGGCAGCCUAAGAAGUAAGAGCGGCAGCCUCCGAAGCUGUAGGUCAGAGGUUCGAAUCCUCUCGGGUGCACCA
rnacentral:tRNA from 1 species